GCGGGGGGCCGGGCGCCCCGGAGCGUGGGCGGAGGAGCAACACGGAGCUCGCAGGUUCCCGUAAGACGACUUGCAAAGCCCAGGUGUCCUCCCCCUGUACCGGAUGUUUGCUCUCGGAAGCGUUCUGCGGUUCAAGAAUUGCUUAGAAGAGAGCUUUAAAGGCCUUCUGUGUGCCAUGUAGGAGCCGUGCGGUUGUGUUCAGAGCAGGUUCUUUCUUCCUCUCUGCUGUUUGAAGAGAAGCUGUUUCUCCGACAUGAAGCAAGGCUCCAGAUUUAGGCAUUUCUGCUGCAUAACCCACUAAACUGCCAUUCUUCAUCUAAAGACCUGACCUUUAGAGAACAUUCCAGCUCUGGAAGUCGGAUUAUAUGUCAGAGGAUUGAUGUGCUGUGGCACUUGGGAGUUUCCAUUUAGAAAUGAGCUGGCCAUGUUCCUGAGUGUGAGGAGUCACUGCAGCCUUACUCCUUCAACAGUUAGUUGUGUUUUUCAGGCGGAAGAAUGGAGAAACUUAGUCAUUUCAUGUGAUACAGAGCUGGACUCAGCUUAACAAGCCGUUUGGGCCUUAUACAGCUUAACUUUAGCCUCACCAGAACACCAGAAUAAAGUCUAUAAUCAUUGUUUUGGUUAGGAAAAAUCACUUCCUUGAAUCCACAUAGCCUAACUUGGGAUUUUGAAAGUUAAUGUCUAGGACCCUGCUGAAAACUGGACACCACCAAGGCACCUGCUGGGUUGUCAACACAUAGGAGAUUUUAAUGUACUCUGAUCACAAUGGAUUAUUCUGUAACAGAUGAUAAAUAUGUUGUUUAAAAUACCCCCGUCAUACUAAUAAAUAUGCCAAACAUUUAUAAAGACUUUUA